AUGUUGUUAGACAACGGAGAACCUUCGAACUAUGAAGAAGCGAUGGCGGGCCCGGAUUCCGACAAAUGGCUAGAAGCCAUGAAAUCCGAGAUAGAAUCCAUGUAUGAAAACAAAGUAUGGACUUUGACUGACUUGCCCGAUGAGCGGCGAGCCAUAGAAAACAAAUGGAUCUUUAAGAAGAAGACGGACGCGGAUGGUAAUGUGACCAUCUACAAAGCUCGACUUGUCGCUAAGGGUUAUCGACAAGUUCAAGGGGUUGACUACGAUGAGACUUUCUCACCCGUAGCGAAGCUGAAGUCCGUCCGAAUCAUGUUAGCAAUUGCCGCAUACUAUGAUUAUGAGAUAUGGCAGAUGGACGUCAAAACGGCAUUCCUUAACGGCUUCCUUAAGGAAGAGUUGUAUAUGAUGCAGCCGGAAGGUUUUGUCGAUCCUAAGAAUGCUAACAAAGUAUGCAAGCUCCAGCGCUCAAUCUAUGGGAUGGUGCAAGCAUCUCGGAGUUGGAACAUUCGCUUUGAUGAAAUGAUCAAAGCGUUUGGGUUUACACAGACUUAUGGAGAAGCCUGUGUUUACAAGAAAGUGAGUGGGAGCUCUGUAGCAUUUCUCAUAUUAUAUGUGGAUGACAUAUUAUUGAUGGGAAAUGAUAUAGAAUUCUUGGAAAGUAUAAAGGCCUAUUUGAAUAAGUGUUUUUCAAUGAAGGACCUUGGAGAAGCUGCUUAUAUAUUAGGCAUCAAGAUCUAUAGAGAUAGAUCAAGACGCCUCAUUGGUCUUUCACAGAGUACAUACCUUGACAAGAUAUUGAAGAAGUUCAGUAUGGAUCAGUCCAAGAAGGGGUUCUUGCCUGUAUUGCAAGGUGUGCAAUUGAGCACGGCUCAAUGCCCGACCACGGCAAAAGAUAUAGAAGAGAUGAGUGUCAUCCCCUAUGCCUCGGCCAUAGGGUCUAUUAUGUAUGCCAUGCUGUGUACCAGACCUGAUGUAAACCUUGCCGUAAGUUUGGUAGGAAGGUACCAAAGUAAUCCCGGCAAGGAACACUGGACAGCGGUCAAGAAUAUCCUGAAGUACCUGAAGAGGACUAAGGAUAUGUUUCUCAUUUAUGGAGGUAACGAAGAGCUCGUCGUAAAGGGUUACGUCGACGCUAGUUUCGACACAGAUCCGGAUGACUCGAAGUCACAGACCGGAUACGUGUAUAUUUUGAAUAGAGGAGCAGUAAGC
rnacentral:rRNA from 1 species